UGCUCACGAACUCAUGCUAGCUAUGUUGGAUGAAGACGAACGGUUUGUGGAGCCCACACCAUAUUCAUUACAAAAUUAGACUUUGCAAACGUAAAAGAUGCAGUGAUGAAUCAAUAUGCCAGUGAUAACAUGGAGGUGAGCAUCGUUGGGGAUUUUUCAGAAGAGGAUAUCGAAUCUUGUGUAAUGGAUUACCUAGGCACGGUUACGAUCCAAUCAUCUUUAGACCGUCACCUCAAUCUCAUGAUUUGCAUUUUCAGCAAGUGUUCUUGAAGGACACUAAUGAGAGAGCAUGUGCUUACAUUGUUGGGCCUGCACCGAACCGUUGGGGAUAUGCAGUUGAUGGAACAGACUUUCUUGAGUCCAUAAGUAAAGUUUCAGUUAGUAAUGGUAAACUGAUACGGAUCAGUAGUUUGAUGCGGAUCAGUAGUUUGAUAACAAGAUCAGUAGAUAAAGGGUCAGUAGAUAAGGGAUCAGUAGUUAAAGGGUCAGUCAGCAGUGGAUUAGUCAACAGCAGAUGGGAGUGUUGAUUAAACAACAGUGGUUUGCGUGAUGAUUAGUAACAGGGGAUUGGGUUGUUAGUUAGUUAGGCAGUUAGGGUGGUAGUUGGUUAGUAGUUGUGUGAGUUGUUGUAAACUGGGUAUAAAAGAGAUAUGUUGUAAUAGAAUAGGUAUCUUAAAAAUAAUAACAAACUCUUCUUAGUCUCU